GAUGAACGCUGGCGGCGUGCCUAAUACAUGCAAGUCGAGCGAACAGAUGAGGAGCUUGCUCCUCUGACGUUAGCGGCGGACGGGUGAGUAACACGUGGAUAACCUACCUAUAAGACUGGGAUAACUUCGGGAAACCGGAGCUAAUACCGGAUAAUAUAUUGAACCGCAUGGUUCAAUAGUGAAAGACGGUUUUGCUGCCACUUAUAGAUGGAUCCGCGCCGCAUUAGCUAGUUGGUAAGGUAACGGCUUACCAAGGCAACGAUGCGUAGCCGACCUGAGAGGGUGAUCGGCCACCCUGGAACUGAGACACGGUCCAGACUCCUACGGGAGGCAGCAGUAGGGAAUCUUCCGCAAUGGGCGAAAGCCUGACGGAGCAACGCCGCGUGAGUGAUGAAGGUCUUCGGAUCGUAAAACUCUGUUAUUAGGGAAGAACAAAUGUGUAAGUAACUAUGCACGUCUUGACGGUACCUAAUCAGAAAGCCACGGCUAACUACGUG
rnacentral:rRNA from 1 species